AGCUUGCUAAGAAAACGCCUUUUUGAGGUCAAAGGAGGAAAAUUGACUCGCGGUUAUAAAUCGCAAGGUUGGGUAGUGGGAAUUUAUUCUGCGGCCAUAAACCACAGAGAAACGGCGUCAAUAAGCCUUUUGUUGCGAAGUCUGUUGAAUAAGCAGAAUACGAGAAAAGAGGUGUCUAAGGAGGCGUCUGAGGACAGUCGGGGGAUCCGCCUGUAAGACCAGGCCUGACAGGCAGGCCCCUCAAAACAUGGGCCCCUCGACAGGUGGGCCCCUCGACAGCUGCCCCCCCCCCCUUCACCCCGCCUCGUAGGGUGACCUCAGCCUCCUUACUGGUCGCAAAGGCAGCGUCACAGUUGGGUCCCGUUUCUCAGGCUGCGUGGAAAAAAGCUCAGCAAACCCUGUCCGUCGCAUCCCCUCGCUCGCUGUGAGCUGAAUUGAAAGUCUCUGAUAUAAACAAGACAGUUUUCCAAGUUUAGGUCAUUUCCUGGAGGCUUCAAAGCUAAACUGAACAGUAAACAUCAAGCCAGGGCAAGAUCUUGGUAUGUUUCUAAGAAGAAAACACACAGCAAAUUACUGCCAGGACACAGCAAUCCCUGCGGCAGCGAUCUGCAUCGUUACAGGAGAAACGGGAGAGCGGUCCGGUCCCUGAAUGAAAAGCAGCCGUCAGGACUUUCGGACACGUCACCUCGAUCUGGAGGCUUACAGCUGGAAGAACAUCAACCACAUACUGUCAAUACCAUCCAUCCAUCCACCCAUCCAUCUUUCUACUUGUCCAGUCCAGGGCUGUGGUGGAGCUUUCGCCUGUCCCAGGCAUCGCAGAACGCAAAGCGACGCUGUUGCCCACUGAGCCCCUGUGCUACUGAUAACUGGUAAAACAUACAACACACAACGAUAAAUUUUCCGUCACCAUGGACAGUUAUAUUAGUCGUUCCCACGGCGAUAGUACAUCUGCGUGUUUCAAGCUGAAAAAAAACCCCCCAAAAACAUUCACUUAAACAGGUGGGCCCUGAUUAUUAUGGAAUUGAUCAGGUAUGAUUUUGCUGUCUUCUGUCAAUGGAUGAGUGUUGGCUGUAUGUUAGUUGGGUUUCUUUACAUCCCUGUCAUUCUUACAGGCGUCUUACGAAUUUCUGCGCGUUACCGUGGGAUCAGAGAGUAAGGCGGCAGACACCUUAUUGAAGGAAUGUGAACAUUAAGCCUGAAUCUGACUAACUGAGCUAACUUUUUGUACCCCGGCAUCCUGAUACGAGCGGCUGCGAAAGUAGUACACGCAGUCGCGCUAUCAUAACAUGGGGGGACAUUGUACGAAGACCCUUCAGCUGGGCUCACAAAGAGAAGCCAGCUCUGGACAGUGCCGGUUGCCAUGGUUAUGCCCAACCAAGCCAUUAUCUUUAUGGGCUGUAAAAAGAGGCUCGGUGUGUCAUUGUGCAGAAGGGAUCCUUGUCCUGGACGUGUUUUGACAGCAUACUAAAAUUCCAGGAGCCUGCAGCAGCUUCAAGGGACGAGCAACAAAAUGUGUCUGUUCCAAUCUGAUCAUUACCUCAUUUAUCAUUAGUGGCUCAUUAAUGCCUCAUUUAUCUUUUCAUUUUAACCAAUAAUGUCCAGGACCGUGAACAGAUGCUGCACAUGAGGAACCAUGCGGAGGAAAGUUUGUCACCUCGAAUGAAAAUCAUUUCAGAAAAUCAUCGCUGUUCUUCUGUACUCUCCUACAUUGGUGGGAUGGCAAAAUUAUUUUCUAUUUUAAGGAAACCAAAGCGAUAUGCUACUACCGCCGGACGGAGGGUCCCGUAUUUCGAGGUUUGAGGUGCUGUCCAUGUUUCCCUCAGCUUGAAAUAAACACGAUUUAAAAAAGAGCUCUAGAAUCUCCAUGGAGGAUAAGUGCAGCUCCGCGGGUGAAGCUUGUUGACGGGGAAGU